ACGAACGCUGGCGGCGUGCCUAAUACAUGCAGGUCGAACGCUUCUUUCCUCCCGAGUGCUUGCACUCAAUUGGAAAGGGGAGUGGCGGACGGGUGAGUAACACGUGGGUAACCUACCCAUCAGAGGGGGAUAACACUUGGAAACAGGUGCUAAUACCGCAUAACAGUUUAUGCCGCAUGGCAUAAGAGUGAAAGGCGCUUUCGGGUGUCGCUGAUGGAUGGACCCGCGGUGCAUUAGCUAGUUGGUGAGGUAACGGCUCACCAAGGCCACGAUGCAUAGCCGACCUGAGAGGGUGAUCGGCCACACUGGGACUGAGACACGGCCCAGACUCCUACGGGAGGCAGCAGUAGGGAAUCUUCGGCAAUGGACGAAAGUCUGACCGAGCAACGCCGCGUGAGUGAAGAAGGUUUUCGGAUCGUAAAACUCUGUUGUUAGAGAAGAACAAGGACGUUAGUAACUGAACGUCCCCUGACGGUAUCUAACCAGAAAGCCACGGCUAACUACGUG
rnacentral:rRNA from 1 species